GAAGCAGAGAUGCCGGUAAAAAGGUUAAAAACCGUUCCUCAAUUUUGAGCCGUCGUGAGCGUCGUCCGUCGAUAGAUCGUCAAUCACCAUUUAAUUAUUUUGUGACUUUGAGCCCCGCAUCAAGAAUUACAAAUAUCUGAGUCAUUAUGUUCCGGCUUGGCGGUAUGAGGGACCCUGCUGAGGAGAAGAGACGAGCUCUGGAGGAAGAGCGUCUCUCAAGAAUGGUCGUCUACACAAAUUUUGGGACCUUUUUCUUUAGUAUAUUCAUCAUCAAAGCCACUCCACAUGUUCUGAAGAUGCUUCAGUAAAGACAUAACUGCUGGUGCACUGCGUCACCAAGAUGCAUCUUAAGUCCUUAACUCUUAUAAUUCCUUAUCUUCAACAUAAACAUUAGUCAUCAUUAUCAUUUGAUAAUGAUCUUGUAUCAUCUUGCUAAUAUCAACCACAUGCACAGUUCCACAGCUAGAACGAGUUUCCAAACACCUGAUCCUUUGAUAAUUUUGAUUAUUGAAACAGACACUUACUUUAUUCAUCAAAGUGAUUGAUAAUACGUACCUAUUUCCGUAUGAAGUUGUUACAAGCGGGUAACCAUUAUUAUGAGUUAUUAUUUCUUCAUUCACAAUGACAAACUUCUAAUCCUUUAAUAAUUUUGAUUAUUGAAAUAGACAUUUAAUUUAUUCAUCAAAGUGAUCGAUGAUACCUUUUUCCGUAUGAAGUUGUUACAAGGUGGUAACCAUUAUUAUGAGUUAUGUACAAUGAUUACCUUUUACACAGCUGGUAACCUUCUACUAGUACAUCAUCAUACCGUAUCCAGCUAUUCAUCAUGUUGAACUGAAUUGUUCAAUAUGAUUUGUAAUUACAAUUAUUAUCAUUUAUGUCAACAGUGAUGCAAACAAUAAAUUCUACCAGUA